rnacentral:rRNA from 1 species
GACAGAGGUUGCAAACGUUGUUCGGAAUUACUGGGCAUAAAGCGCACGUAGGCGGUCCGUUAAGUCAUGUGUGAAAUCCCCCGGCUCAACCGGGGAAUUGCGCCUGAUACUGGCGGGCUAGAGGUCGAUAGGGGUGAGCGGAACUCCAGGUGGAGCGGUGAAAUGCGUAGAUAUCUGGAGGAACACCGGUGGCGAAAGCGGCUCACUGGAUCGAAUCUGACGCUGAGGUGCGAAAGCUAGGGUAGCAAACGGG